GGACUUACUAGCAAAUAUAAAUAGUGACAUACUGAGCUCAUGUGGAUGGACAACAACCCCAGGAGCUGAAAAAACAAGCUGUGGAACAGACGUAACUUGUCCCUGAACACAUGAAGAGCUGAAGACAAAGAUGGGAACGGGACUCAGAUGUCCAGCAUGCCCAGUGCACUGUUAGUGAUGGAACUCUGCAGUACAAUGAUUUGAUGAGGCCAUGAUCUUGGAAAGAUACAAAAAGAGAUGGGCUGU